UCAAAAAAAUACUGAAUGAGCAGCUAGAGUCAGGAUGCAAACCCAGAUCUGGCUGACCCUACAACCUUGAGCUUCCUUCCCAACCUUCCUUGGAGACAACCUCUGCUAAUGGUCCUGAAGGAUCAGAAGACAAACUGAACACAUCUGCAAUUAUCUGGAUUUAGCCCCAAUGGUUUUAUGCAAAAACUCUGAAUGCAUUUAAGGUUUAUGUAUUGUGAAGGCGCCACAUUCAGUUCUCCAUUCUGGGAUAUCUUCAGUCAUUGGACUCUGAGGAAUUUGAAGAGCUUACCAAGGCACUUCAUUUUGUUAAAUGCUCCCAGUGAGCCUU